ACAUAUCCAAUCACACGGUCUGUAGAGGCAAAGUCACAUGACUUUUUUGUUGCACGUGUUUCCAUUGUAGUUAACGUGCAUGUCUUUUUUGAAUAAACAUUAUCCUCCUCAAUCGAGUUUGUAAUGCACAUUUUAAGAUUUUAUGCACAUCUUGGCAUUUCCAUCCAGCGUGUAAUGCAAUAUUCCAAAAUUUGCAUGAAAAUGUGGAUGGAAACGUCUUGUUUUCUCACUGUGUUCAUUUUCCAUCUCCAGUAAAUGCAUCUUGAUUUAAAACAUGUUUAGAUAUUUGUACUGGAAACCAAGAGAAAUACUGAAGAAGAGAUUUUUUUUUUUUUUGCAGUGCAUGCCACAUUAUGAAUUCAAGAUUGUUUGCUCUGAUUUCAGACCUUUUUUGUGUGAGAGCGAAUGCAGACGUUUGUAAGCCCCGCAGAAACCCUGUCCAUGUAAUUUAAGUGUGUCUAUACUGUAACCGUGUCACUUUUUUACUCGCGAACGCAUUUGUAAACUAGAGGACCCCUGGAACGAGGGGUUUGUAAUGGUGCUUCUUAUAAUGACCAACUACUUGUAAACUGUGUUUCUGUGACUCGAUCAUAUGCACUGAGGUCUGACGGCCACACACACCUCCACACACACACCUGUGGCCUCCGCCGCCUCCGCCGUCUGUACGACCACGUUCUGUUCGGUCUUCACACUCGUGAGGGGCUUAGAUGUACAUUCACAAUAAAAACAUAUUUUUGGUUGUACGGGCGACUCGAGCGCUGGCCUUCUUUCAGAGCGACCUCUGAACUCCAUCAGCUCUCAGAAUCACUCGGUCCUCGCUCGGUUCCUCGUGGAGAAAUAAUUCAUUCCAGAGUUUGUAGCUGAGCAGCUGACGAUGUUGGCGUCGUAUCGUGAUAAUAAUACAUGUGUUGGUAAUACUGUGGUGUUCUCAAAACCCUGUAAAGCCUGACAUAAUAGUCAAAAAAUACCAUCUUUUUAAAAAAUGGAACAGUUGAUUAGACAAAAUAUAUUACAAGAAUAUUACAUGAUCCAUCAGGCGUCUACGGCUAAUAUAGUGAGAAGAUGAAGCAAGAACAGACUCAAACUGAGCAAAAAUAUGAAUUUGCUGCAGAUAUUAUAUGAUGAAAUUCUGCUGCUUGUGAUGUAAAUCACUGAGAUCUUUAUUACAGUGCAGCAGUGCGCCACACAUAGGGGGCGCCAUAUUUCCGAAAUCAUUCUAUAAAAGAUUUCUUUAAUAAACGUUAUAAAUAAUCAAAAGCUUAGUUGUUAAAAAUAAUGUAAUGAAGCAUUUUUAAUGAGCACAAAAAUAUAUUUAUUAUAAACUGAGUACAUAUGAACUGCUCGGCCUUUGACACAUUGCUGUAACGAAUGAAUAGAGGAGGGAAACGUUCUGGGCGCAGAACGGAAAAGAUGAAGGGGAAAAGAAAAACAAUGCAUGAAAAUGAGGACAGCAAUGUCCAAGUGAACUAAGAGAAAUAGGUACGCUUAUCCUAUUCUUUUUUUCUUCUUCAUUGUGAGUCAUGAAGUCAUUAAACAUUUGUUGCCUAAGAGGGCUAAGUGAUUCAUAUCAGUUCAUUUCUGUAUCUCUACUGGUCAAAAAACAUCUGAUUUACAUUAUAGAAGAUUGUAAACUAGCCACCUUUCACUGAAAACUCAAAAUAGUCCAUUUGUGUGAUUCAAGUAGAUACGAUGAGUUAAAAACUCUUACUACGUCAUACUUCAAUAUUAAACAAUACUG
ensembl:lncRNA